CGACGAAUCUUCCGCAAUGGGCGCAAGCCUGACGGAGCAAUGCCGCGUGCGGGAUGAAGCGGCUUCGCCGUGUAAACCGCUGUCAGGUCCAAGGACCAAUGACCAGGACCAGAGGAAGGGCCGGCUAAACUCGUGCCAGCAGCCGCGGUAAGACGAGUGGCCCAAGCGUUAUUCGGAAUCACUGGGCUUAAAGGGUGCGCAGGCGGAUCGGCAGGCAUCUUGUGAAAUCCCACGGCUCAACCGUGGAACUGCAGGGUGAACCGCCGGUCUUGAGGCAGGUAGGGGCCGACGGAACGAUCGGUGGAGCGGUGAAAUGCGUAGAUAUCGAUCGGAACGCCAAUGGCGAAGGCAGUCGGCUGGGCCUGACCUGACGCUGAGGCACGAAAGCGUGGGGAGCGAACA
rnacentral:rRNA from 1 species